GACAGAGGAUGCAAGCGUUAUCCGGAAUGAUUGGGCGUAAAGCGUCUGUAGGUGGCUUUUUAAGUCCGCCGUCAAAUCCCAGGGCUCAACCCUGGACAGGCGGUGGAAACUACCAAGCUGGAGUACGGUAGGGGCAGGAGGGAAUUCCUGGUGUAGCGGUGAAAUGCGCAGAUAUUAGGAGGAACACCGGUGGCGAAGGCGCCGCUCUGGGCCGAUACUGACGCUGAGGAGCGAAAGCGUGGGUAGCAAACAGG
rnacentral:rRNA from 1 species